rfam:Culex pipiens quinquefasciatus supercont3.29 genomic scaffold, whole genome shotgun sequence.
GGCUCCGUGGCUUAAUGGUUUCGGCUUCUGCCUCACAAGCAGAAGGUUCAGGGAUCAAAUCCCGGUCGGUACCU